UGUGAGAGAGAAAAAAAAAAGACAAGGUUUCCGUAGGUGAACCUGCGGAAGGAUCAUUACAGUAUUCUUUUUGCCAGCGCUUAAUUGCGCGGCGAAAAAACCUUACACACAGUGUUUUUUGUUAUUACAAGAACUUUUGCUUUGGUCUGGACUAGAAAUAGUUUGGGCCAGAGGUUUACUGAACUAAACUUCAAUAUUUAUAUUGAAUUGUUAUUUAUUUAAUUGUCAAUUUGUUGAUUAAAUUCAAAAAAUCUUCAAAACUUUCAACAACGGAUCUCUUGGUUCUCGCAUCGAUGAAGAACGCAGCGAAAUGCGAUAAGUAAUAUGAAUUGCAGAUUUUCGUGAAUCAUCGAAUCUUUGAACGCACAUUGCGCCCUCUGGUAUUCCAGAGGGCAUGCCUGUUUGAGCGUCAUUUCUCUCUCAAACCUUCGGGUUUGGUAUUGAGUGAUACUCUUAGUCGAACUAGGCGUUUGCUUGAAAUGUAUUGGCAUGAGUGGUACUGGAUAGUGCUAUAUGACUUUCAAUGUAUUAGGUUUAUCCAACUCGUUGAAUAGUUUAAUGGUAUAUUUCUCGGUAUUCUAGGCUCGGCCUUACAAUAUAACAAACAAGUUGACCUCAAAUACACAUAAGAUACCCGGAUCC
rnacentral:rRNA from 1 species